GAUGAACGCUGGCGGCGUGCCUAAUACAUGCAAGUCGAGCGAACGGACGAGAAGCUUGCUUUUCUGAUGUUAGCGGCGGACGGGUGAGUAACACGUGGAUAACCUACCUAUAAGACUGGGAUAACUUCGGGAAACCGGAGCUAAUACCGGAUAAUAUUUUGAACCGCAUGGUUCAAAAGUGAAAGACGGUCUUGCUGUCACUUAUAGAUGGAUCCGCGCUGCAUUAGCUAGUUGGUAAGGUAACGGCUUACCAAGGCAACGAUGCAUAGCCGACCUGAGAGGGUGAUCGGCCACACUGGAACUGAGACACGGUCCAGACUCCUACGGGAGGCAGCAGUAGGGAAUCUUCCGCAAAGGGCGAAAGCCUGACGGAGCAACGCCGCGUGAGUGAUGAAGGUCUUCGGAUCGUAAAACUCUGUUAUUAGGGAAGAACAUAUGUGUAAGUAACUGUGCACAUCUUGGCGGUACCUAAUCAGAAAGCCACGGCUAACUACGUG
rnacentral:rRNA from 1 species